rnacentral:rRNA from 1 species
GACAGAGGUGCAACAGUUGCUCGGAAUUACUGGGCGUAAAGCGCGUGUAGGUGGAUUGGUGUGUCAGAUGUGAAAGCCCUGGGCUCAACCCAGGAACUGCACCUGAAACUACCAGUCUUGAGUGGUGGAGGAGGAAGGUGGAAUUCCUGGUGUAGAGGUGAAAUUCGUAGAUAUCAGGAGGAACACCAGUGGCGAAGGCGGCUUCCUGGACACCAACUGACGCUGAGACGCGAAAGCGUGGGGAGCAAACAGG